AUACAGAUGCAUUACGAAAAGAAGAUACAGAUGUUUUACAAAAAAAGAAAAGAUACAGAUGCAUCAGUGAUGCUAUUUGUUCAGCUAAACAUAAGUGCAUUAAUUCUGAAAUACUAUAUUUGCCAUUAUUUCUGAAGCUUCAAUAGAAAACAGUAUCAGAUUAUCUGCGUAUUGCAUAAUCUUGCUUCAUGCUACAACUUACAUAUUUGUUAACAAGCAGGUCACUAUGGAAGUGAACUGAUGAAGGAAGAGGGAUCCGGAGGCGUGGGGAUCUGCACUGCUCCAUCAAGCAUCUGUGUCACUUUAAGCAUGGUUGGCCGCAUAGUCGGCUCCUCCUGGAGGCACCAAAGGGCGACAGCCACGAAUCGCUCUGCCUUUUUUAUGUUGAAGUUUGCCUCAUCGUCGCCUUCCACCAGCAAGUCGAUCCUCCCAGACCUGUAACAGUCGUUUGCCCAGUAAGUUAGUAUCGCCUGCUCUUCAUCGUCGAUUUCUACCUCCACAUUCCUCCUGCAGCACACAAGCUCAAGCAGGAUCACACCAAAGCUGUAAACAUCGACUUUGGAGGUGAUCCCUAUGUUCUUGAACCACUCUGGGG
rnacentral:lncRNA from 1 species